AAUUUGCAUAAAAAAUUCAUCGAUUUUGAGUUUUUGCAAAAGUAGGUCGUCUUUUUAGAUUUUGCAGAUUUGGUCCGAAUUUUUAAUAAACUAACUAAAAUACCCUUAUUACUAUUUCUCUCUCUCUCUCUUUUUUUCAAUAUUCCAUCUUUUUGAAAGUCGAAUUAAAAUAUUCUAUAAGUUUAUAUAUACAGAGAGAAUUCGGUUACUAUACUAUCAAUAGUAUUUGGAGUAUUUUACUAUAAAGUUUUUAGCCGUUAGAUUUAAUUUUUUAAUUAUUUCUACCAUUGGACCAAAUAUUAUUUAACCAGCUACCAUUAAACCGAAGGGGAUAACCACUCAACCUUAAAGUACUACUAUCAUCCUAACCCUACAAUUUUUCAUCCAAGAGUUAAAAAUUGGACAGUAAAUGUCACGCCCCGGGACCGGCGGAGGCCCUUCCGGUAGCAUGCCCAGACCCGCCAUAUGCCUGCACAUAUAAGGCGUCUACAACAAUAGCGAUAAUGAUAAGGAUAAACAAGUAUCUAGAGAUAUCACAGCAAGUAACAGCUAAGUUCUAACAACAAGUAAAGAGAGAAGGAACUAACAACUUAAAAUAAGACAUAAAGUGAAUACAUCAAACUGUCUCAAAGCAAGUACUAUAAUACCCAAAAUGGUAGUCUCUAUGUAGGGUACAAACGUUCUCAUUCUCUCCAACUAAAACAAAAAGGAGAAAAUGAUCCACCUAGCAAGACCCCUCGCUCGCUAGCUCGAGGCGAGACCCUUGCCGCGAUCCCUAACCUCUCUCGGAGCAGAAGGCUCUGAAAAUAAAACAUAAAACAGGGGGGUGUGAGAACUAUAAUUUAUAAUUUUCAGUGGGCAAUUACUGACCUGAGCAAAAUGCACCACUAAGCCCAAAAGCAUGAGUAGAUAAAAGAAACUACUAGUAAGCUGCGAAUAUGAAAAGCAUGU
rnacentral:lncRNA from 1 species